AGAGUUUGAUCCUGGCUCAGGAUGAACGCUGGCGGCGUGCCUAAUACAUGCAAGUCGAACGCGCAGCGAGAGGUGCUUGCACCUUUCAAGCGAGUGGCGAACGGGUGAGUAACACGUGGAUAACCUGCCUCAAGGCUGGGGAUAACAUUUGGAAACAGAUGCUAAUACCGAAUAAAACUUAGUAUCGCAUGAUAUCAAGUUAAAAGGCGCUACGGCGUCACCUAGAGAUGGAUCCGCGGUGCAUUAGUUAGUUGGUGGGGUAAAGGCUUACCAAGACGAUGAUGCAUAGCCGAGUUGAGAGACUGAUCGGCCACAUUGGGACUGAGACACGGCCCAAACUCCUACGGGAGGCUGCAGUAGGGAAUCUUCCACAAUGGGCGCAAGCCUGAUGGAGCAACGCCGCGUGUGUGAUGAAGGCUUUCGGGUCGUAAAGCACUGUUGUAUGGGAAGAAAUGCUAAAAUAGGGAAUGAUUUUAGUUUGACGGUACCAUACCAGAAAGGGACGGCUAAAUACGUGCCAGCAGCCGCGGUAAUACGUAUGUCCCGAGCGUUAUCCGGAUUUAUUGGGCGUAAAGCGAGCGCAGACGGUUGAUUAAGUCUGAUGUGAAAGCCCGGAGCUCAACUCCGGAAUGGCAUUGGAAACUGGUUAACUUGAGUGUUGUAGAGGUAAGUGGAACUCCAUGUGUAGCGGUGGAAUGCGUAGAUAUAUGGAAGAACACCAGUGGCGAAGGCGGCUUACUGGACAACAACUGACGUUGAGGCUCGAAAGUGUGGGUAGCAAACAGGAUUAGAUACCCUGGUAGUCCACACCGUAAACGAUGAAUACUAGGUGUUAGGAGGUUUCCGCCUCUUAGUGCCGAAGCUAACGCAUUAAGUAUUCCGCCUGG
rnacentral:rRNA from 1 species